rnacentral:rRNA from 1 species
UACGUAGGGUGCGAGCGUUAAUCGGAAUUACUGGGCGUAAAGCGUGCGUAGGCGGUUCGUUGUGUCUGUGGUGAAAGCCCCGGGCUUAACCUGGGAAUGGCCAUGGAAACUGGCGAGCUGGAGUGUGGCAGAGGAGGGUGGAAUUCCGCGUGUAGCAGUGAAAUGCGUAGAGAUGCGGAGGAACACCGAUGGCGAAGGCAGCACUCUGGGCUAACACUGACGCUGAGGCACGAAAGCGUGGGGAGCAAACAGG